rnacentral:rRNA from 1 species
AUAUUGGUCAAUGGGCGUGAGCCUGAACCAGCCAAGUAGCGUGCAGGAAGACGGCCCUAUGGGUUGUAAACUGCUUUUAUGCGGGGAUAAAGGAGUCCACGUGUGGAUUUUUGCAGGUACCGCAUGAAUAAGGACCGGCUAAUUCCGUGCCAGCAGCCGCGGUAAUACGGAAGGUCCGGGCGUUAUCCGGAUUUAUUGGGUUUAAAGGGAGCGUAGGCCGCGUUUUAAGCGUGUUGUGAAAUGUAGACGCCCAACGUCUGCAUCGCAGCGCGAACUGGGACGCUUGAGUACGCGCAACGUUGGCGGAAUUCGUCGUGUAGCGGUGAAAUGCUUAGAUAUGACGAGGAACUCCGAUUGCGAAGGCAGCUGACGGGAGCGGCACUGACGCUUAAGCUCGAAGGUGCGGGUAUCAAACAGGAUUAGAUACCCUGGUAGUCCGCACAGUAAACGAUGGAUGCCCGCUGUGUGCCUAUUAUGGUACGCGGCUAAGCGAAAGCGUUAAGCAUCCCACCUGGGGAGUACGCCGGCAACGGUGAAACUCAAAGGAAUUGACGGGGGCCCGCACAAGCGGAGGAACAUGUGGUUUAAUUCGAUGAUACGCGAGGAACCUUACCCGGGCUUGAACUGCCGGUGCACGAUCCAGAGAUGGUGAGGCCCUUCGGGGCGCCGGUGGAGGUGCUGCAUGGUUGUCGUCAGCUCGUGCCGUGAGGUGUCGGCUUAAGUGCCAUAACGAGCGCAACCCCUCUCCGUAGUUGCCAUCAGGUAAUGCUGGGCACUCUGCGGAUACUGCCACCGCAAGGUGCGAGGAAGGUGGGGAUGACGUCAAAUCAGCACGGCCCUUACGUCCGGGGCUACACACGUGUUACAAUGGGGCAUACAGAGUGUUGGCUUAACGCAAGUUUGGUCUAAUCUUCAAAGUGUCUCCCAGUUCGGAUUGGGGUCUGCAACCCGACCCCAUGAAGCUGGAUUCGCUAGUAAUCGCGCAUCAGCCAUGGCGCGGUGAAUACGUUCCCGGGCCU